GCCGACGUGGCGGAAUGGUUACGCACCCGACUUGUAAUCGGGAAGACGUGGGUUCGAAUCCCACCGUCGGCUCCA
rnacentral:tRNA from 1 species